GCACCUCGGGCUUACUAUCCUGCUGAAAAGGCUCCCAAAGGCAGCAGCACAGAGCGGGCGCAAACAUGAACCAAGACAAUGUGUCCGUGGAGCCUGUCCAGGGUCAGUUUCUCUGCCACUCCACCCUCCUCCUCUCCUCUCUAAUUAGACGAGGAUCGAGGAUCGCUCUCCACUCUCACCGGCCACCACCGAAGCUCGACUGAGAGCAGCUGGAAUCUGGGAACACUACCUGCAGCACCAGAACCUAAGAAAAAUCGCGAUUCCCUGCCACCAACAUCUCAUGCCAUCCCCAUGCACCCCUCCAAGCCCCGUAAUCAUCUACUUCUUCCAUCUGCCUAAGAGAAACUGUAAAAGGGAUCCCCCCCCCCCAUGACUGAAUGGAAGCUCUGUACUGUACCGACUUCUGGAUUUGCCCUGGGUUGAGUUUAGGGAAUGUCUGGAAAGAAAAAAAGGGGGGGGAGGAAAAAAGGAGGGGUGCAGCUCAAGCCUUAUCCAAGUUACUCAUAAAGCUGUUUUAGACAGGAAAGAGCCUACGGGAGAAACAGCUGGGAUGCACACUGACUUGGAAAUCUCAGUUCUAGGAACCGUGUCUUUUCAUCCCGGAGGUGCUUCUAUGAAGGUGUUUUGGAAUGAGAUGAGCUGGUUGGAUGGCAUCAUUGACUCAGUUGACGUGAGUUUGAGAAAAUGAAGGACAGAAGCUUGCAGAAGCCUGGCUUGCUGCAGUCCAUGGGAUUGCAAUGAGCUGGACACGACUGGGAAACUGAACAACAAACUUUGAGUGAAGCAAAUUGCCCCCCAUUAUGUGGGUAAGCCUCAUCCAACGUGCUGAAGACCUGAACAGAACAAAAAGACUGACCCUCCUAUAAGUAACAGAGACGUCUCCUGAAGACAGACUUCAGACUUGAACUAGAACGUCAGCCUUUCUGGGUCUCCAACUUAAUGGCCUUUGGACUAGAAUCGUAGCAUCAGCCUCAUGGGUCUCCAGCCUGCCAGCCCAUCCUGGCACAUUUUCAGCCUCUGUAAUCAUGUAAGUUAAUUCCUUAUAAUAAAUCUCUCUCUGUAUUUAUACACUUCCUGUUGGUUCUAUUUCUCUGGAGAACCCUGAAUAAUACAGAAAUUCUGUCUUUCAGCUCAAAUUCAGACUGAUAGACUCUCUAUGCCUUUACGUAAGUCAUCCUUAUAUUUGCCUUUAUGCUUUCUUGUGUUGGGCUCCUAAUU
rnacentral:lncRNA from 1 species